rnacentral:rRNA from 1 species
AGGAAGGUAGUGUAGCUAACACCUGCACUAUUUGACGUUACCUACAGAAGAAGCACCGGCUAACUCCGUGCCAGCAGCCGCGGUAAUACGGGAGGGUGCGAGCGUUAAUCGGAAUUACGUGGGACGUAAAAGCGCAUGCAGGCGGCCUGUUAAGUCAGAUUGUAGAAAACGGCCCCGGGGGUACUUUAAACCCUACGGUAAAUUGCUAUUUAGAAACUGGCAGGCUAGAGUCUUGUAGAGGGGGUAGAAUUUCAGGUGUAGCGGUGAAAUGCGUAGAGAUCUGAAGGAAUACCAGUGGCGAAGGCGGCCCCCUGGACAAAGACUGACGCUCAGAUGCGAAAGCGUGGGGAGCAAACAGGAUUAGAUACCCUGGUAG